CAGUAGCCGCGGGAAUGCGUAGGGUGCGAGCGUUAAUCGGAAUUACUGGGCGUAAAGCGUGCGCAGGCGGUUGUGUAAGACAGGUGUGAAAUCCCCAGGCUUAACCUGGGAACUGCAUUUGAAACUACGGGGCUAGAGUGUGUCAGAGGGGGGUGGAAUUCCACGUGUAGCAGUGAAAUGCGUAGAGAUGUGGAGGAACACCAAUGGCGAAGGCAGCCCCCUGGGAUGACACUGACGCUCAUGCACGAAAGCGUGGGGAGCAAACAGGAUUAGAUACCCGAGUAGUCCCUGUCUCUUAUAC
rnacentral:rRNA from 1 species